rnacentral:misc_RNA from 1 species
GCCGCUACUUGCAAUAAUUGCGUGAACUCGGGUUGGGAUUCUCUUCUUCUUUGUCCCAAUUUCUCUUUCGAUUAUUCAAAUCAAGCCCUAACCCUAGUUACCAGCCAUGUCUUCUAAGCAAGGUGGAAAAGCAAAGCCCUUGAAACAAGGCAAGGUUGAGAAGAAGGAAUACGAUGAGGUAUUAGUUUUAAUAAUUUUGGUUCAGUUUUGAUAAGUUGUUUUUUUAUAUUACCCUGUGCAUUGUUUAGCUUGGUUUUGUAUAGGUUUUUAUUGAUCAGCAAUGCGUAUUUCCGAGUUCAAAUUUCUUGGAUUUGAUUUGGUUUGGUUUUCUUAUUGGAAUUGAUCCAUAAAUCCAACAUUAGGGAAACUUUAUUAGUUGCUUUAUUAAUGGAAAAUUUGAACUGCAAUAAAGUUAUUUUGUCAGGUUACUAUCCAUUCCUUUGGCUUACGGUUGCUAGGAAAUUUGUGAGCUUUCUUAGUGAAAAUGAUGCGAUGCAGAUUGGCUUCUUAUUGGAAUUGAUUCUUCAAGAGUUUUAGGAAAUCUCGUCAGACAUUGUAUGAAUUGUGUGGAUUUUGAUUUUGCCAAAAUCCCAAUUAGAUUCAAAGCCAAGAAUUCUUUUAGUUGAUGUAUGACAUUUAAUCCUUGUUAUUUAAAAAUCCACCACGUGACAUGUUAGAGUUGGUACCAGAAGCCAGCUAUUUGGGUGAUUUCUUUAAAUUUGUUUCUUUGGGAUGGGGUUGUUUGAAUGCCAUACUGUCAAGUAAGCUUCAAACAAGAGAAAUGGAUUUGGUCUCUCUCAAAAUUCUUCCAUCCAAAAAAAUCAUCUGACUUGUGUAGAGCCCAACAUAUUUAUGAGGUUUUUUUUUUUUUUUCCCUUCCUCUUUUGUGUGUGUGCUCUUAUCUGGUCUACCUUUUUUUUUUGUGUGUAUUUAUGCAUUUCUUUUAUGGAAUUGAGAUGUCUUGAUUUGAUUUUCAUUAGUUUAUGUUUGAACUAUGGCCGUGGGGCUGUUUGUUUGGGAUGAAAUUCCAUACACUUUGCUAAUAGUGUUUAUCAUAAUAGGGAUUCAAUUUUCAUAAACGCUUGAUCUGUUCUUGUUUCAAGCAUAUGUGGUUGUGCUGCAAGAUGAUUUCUUUUAGUCUUCAUCUUACUAGUUUCACAUUUAUGUAAUUAAUAAAUGAACACUUUUAUUUGGUUGUAAGGGUUACAUUUGCAUCAAGCAAGUUAACUAUUCUAUAAAUUUUUUAUUGUACCUUGUGACAACACUCAAUUCUUCUGUGCCUUCUUUUAUGAAGUUUGUGCUAAAGGUUUUAUAAUCUAUUUG